UACGGAGGGGGCUAGCGUUGUUCGGAAUUAUUGGGCGUAAAGAGCGUGUAGGCGGUCCGGUAAGUCCGCUGUGAAAGUCCAGGGCUCAACCCUGGAAUGCCGGUGGAUACUGCCGGGCUAGAGUCCGGAAGAGGCGAGUGGAAUUCCUGGUGUAGCGGUGAAAUGCGCAGAUAUCAGGAGGAACACCGAUGGCGAAGGCAGCUCGCUGGGACGGUACUGACGCUGAGACGCGAAAGCGUGGGGAGCAAACAGG
rnacentral:rRNA from 1 species